GUCAGUGUAGUGUAGUGGUUUGAACACUGGACUAUGACUCUGGAUACCAGGGUUCAAAUCCCCACUCAGCCA
rnacentral:tRNA from 1 species